CCGUGCUAAGGUAGCAUAAUCAUUUGUCUUUUAAUUGAAGACUAGAAUGAAUGGAUAAACAAGAAUAAAUCUGUCUUAAUUUAAAUUAUUAUAAAUUUAUAUUUAGGUGAAGAAUCCUAAAUAAAUCUAUAGGACAAAAAGACCCUAUUGAGCUUUAUUUAAUUUUAUAUAUAAAAUUUUUUUAAAAAGAUUUAUAUAAUAAUAAGAGUUUGGUUGGGGCGACAUAGGAAUAAAAAAAUCUUCUUAUAAGAAUAUAAAAAUAAUAAAUAUCCUAGAAAAAGAAAAAAAAUUAGUUACCAUAGGGAUAACAGGCUAAUCUUUAUUGAGAGUUCAUAUUAACAUAAAGGGUUGGCACCUC
rnacentral:rRNA from 1 species